UGGGAAGAUGCGUCAGUUAAGACAUCUUCAAAUACCGUAUUGGGGAAAGAUAGGAGGGCAUCCGAGGCUCGACCUGAUAAGUAACCUCCAGACUCUAUCUGGAGUACGUCCUGGCAAAUGGAUGAAGGGUUGCUUGGGAAAGCUCACCAAUCUUAGAAAUUUAAAAACAUAUUUCGAAACAGGAGCUGAUGCUGAGUUAUUCUAUGAGGCGAUUGUCAAUCUGAAAUGCCUCCAUCAUCUGUGGGUGUGGAUGCCUGUACCGACACAUGGCAAUGAAGACAGAGCCUUAAUUUUGUCCUUAGCUAAUCUUUCACAUCUUCUCAAGUUAAGUACGUUGUAUUGGAGAGGAAUUUUAGAGACGUUACCUGAAUUUCCAACAAACCUCACCAAACUCACCUUGGAAGGCUCCGACUUAAAGGUAGACCCAAUGGCGACGUUGGCGAAGCUGAAAAACCUUCGCAUUCUCAAAUUGCUCAAAGAUUCAUAUGAUGGAGUGGAAAUGGCUUGCUUGGCACAAGGGUUUCCUCAACUCGAAUCCUUACAUCUUCAACAGUUACAUAACUUAAAGGAGUGGAGAGUUGAUGAAGGAGCUAUGCCAAAUCUUUUACAUUUACGGAUCGAUUACUGCGGUCAAUUGAAGAAGCUUCCAGAAGGACUGCAACACGUGACUACCCUCAAGAAAUUGGAGUUGUGGACGAUGCCUUAUGAAUUGAAAGCAAGGGUUCGAGAAGACCGGGGAGAGGAUUGGUAUAAGAUCCAGCACAUACCCUCCAUCCACAUACGAUAGAUAAUGAGAAGCUAAGCAGUCGGACUUUAAUUUCUAUCAUUAUGAGAGGCCAACCAUCGAGAGGUUAGACAGGAGCUUCGAGCAUUUUUCUCACAACAGAGAUUGCAAUGAUCUGCAUGUGCUAUGUGACUAGACGAAGUGAAGAAUGGUGGAAUGGUGACUAGACAGUGAUGAGAUGUUUGGAUGAUCAUUUGUAUUUGUAACUCAAGGAUUUACGUAGUUUCUGUUUGAGAUAUUUCAAUAUGGAAACAUGCACUUAUAUUCGUUACA